UAAUGUAGUAUGUCUUGGUGUGGAUAUCUUGGGGUUCAUCUUACUGAAGAUUGGGCUUCCUGAAUCUGAAUGUCUUUUUAUCUCCUCAGGUUAGGGAAAUUGUUAGCUGUCUAUUACAUGAAAUAAGUUUUGUACCCAUUUCUCUGUCCAUCCUCUGCUACUCAAAAAUUAUUUUCCCCUUGAUGUCACAUAGAUCUUUUAAGCUAUUUUCACUUUUUAAAAUUACUUUUUCCUUUUGCUGCUCUGUUUGGGUGAGUUCCACUGCCUUUUCUUCUAGGUCACUGAUUGUUCUAUGUAGUCUACUGUUGAACUCCUUUAGUUCAGUACUUGUGUUAUUCAGCUCUGUGACUUCUGUUUGAUACUUAGAGUCAAUCUUUGCUGAUGUCUCUGUUUAUCCAUGCUUCUCUUGAGAUUGGUGAGCAUCUUUAUGGUCAUUACUUUGAAUUCUUCAGGUAAAUUACUCUUCAUCAAGUAAAUUACUUUAUCGUCAUUUGGUUAUGUGGCACUUGCUCCCCUGCCCCUCUAUGUUUGGUGGUUUCUUCAUUGUGCUUGACUCUGUGUUUGUGUCUGUGUAUUAGGUGAAACACCUACUUCUGCAAGUCUUGAAGGGGUGGUCAUAGGAAAUGCUGGGGAUGUGUAUCCGUCUCCUGUCAAUGCAGUGCUUUGGGGGUGGUAACCUGCCAGGAACUGUUAUGGAUAGUUUGAUCCUGUGGGGCACAGAAUCCUAAGCCCUAUACACUUGAUCUUUUCUUCCCCUUAAUUAUCAGUUGAAUAGCUUAUUUAAUAGUCUUGUAUUUAUUUGUUAGUGCCACUAUUUUUGUUACUACUGUUUUUAUACCUACCAAUAUUUCUGCUUUCCUUAUUUUAUUCUUCCUAUUUGAACUGCAGUUAAGCAUUAUAUUUCUAGAGCUGCACUGCUUAAAGCUAGGAUUUUUUUCUGAGCACUUACUGUGGAUGCUCAUACAUAAUGUUCUAUAUUUUUGUUUUCUAGAUAUUUUGGGAUCUUGAUUUUUCUCUGGUCAUAAAAAUCACAGGUUUAAAAAUUUUUGUGAUGUAUAAUCAGAAUGUGGUCAUGUGGUCUGCACUAUACCUGUUUCUUGGAAUUCUAGGUCCUUUUUAUAACCUACCAUAUGAUCAGGUUUUGUAAAUAGGCACUUCAAAGUUCUCUGUUUUCAAGUUACAUAAUUAGAAAUCUAUCAAUUGGAUUUCCUUAAGAAAUGGUAGUAGGCUUCUCCUAUUGUUUUUUUUUUUUUUUUUAACCUGUUUGACUUGCCAUGUCCUAAAACUCAGGGUUGCUUUUAUUUAUUGUAUUAAGCACUUGAGAGACCAUCCAAAAGAUGUAGAUUCUCCCUUGAAUUUAUUGAGACAAUUUGAUUAAAAACAAAACAAAACAAAACACUGAUGCUAGUAGUAGGAGUUGAAACACUGGAGAGAGCAUUUUGAGCUUGAUAACAAAGCUCAAUGCAGGAGAUGGAUCUUGAAGAGCAAGCAAGAGGUGGGGAGUGUGUAAUGGUGCCUUUUAGGCUUUGCACACCAUGAGCAGAGCUGGGCUUGGGAUGAGCCUGGCAUGUUGGGGAGAAGGCACAUAUCCUUCUAAGGUCUUGGUCUCUAUGAUUUACUGUAGCAGUUGAAUCGGGCAGUGAGUCAUUGGGGACGAGACUUUGCUGUUGAACUGACUUAUGGAUAAGCAUCUUUGUUGGGGCCGUCCCAGCCAUGUUAUCAGUCUACCUUGCAACAACGGAGGACAACAUGAUAAUUUGCUCUUUAGGCUGCCCUAUUGGCAUGCUCUCAGCUUUGCAUCUUCACUGGAGAGCUGAAAUUGGCAUACACCUCAGUUUGAUAGCAUUAGCUUAGUAUUCAAACAUUAAUCAGGGAUACACAGACAUUUCAACUGAAGAAUUACAGUGUCUGAUAUGUACUUGCUAUAUGGAGUUGUUUUGUCAGAUGACCCCAGUAAAUUACCAAGUAUUGAACACUGAUGAUAAAUCAAAUGAUGUAUGGUCUGUAGGAAGUGAAGGUAUUUAAAUAAUUAAGCAGUUCUUUCUAGAGCCUCUUUUAUAUGAUGAUUUUCUAGACUCCAAAUCAGUUUUCUUCAUCCAGCCUCCAUAUAAUAUAUAGUUAUUUCAAAUCAGCUUACUUACUGAGGUUUUUCUAGUAAUGGAGCUUUGUCAGCAAAAACUGUGCAUACCAGCAAAUGGUGAAUGAUGGGCUUGUGUCAGAAAGGAGCUUGAGAGGUGCUUUCUGUUGUUAGAUGGAUGGGUCUGGAGCAUGAGCUUGAAACUCUCCAACUGUAAUAGUUUAAGAGAAAAGGUAUGUCUGAAGUAGGGGUGAGGGCUCCAUCACUCAAAAGCUGGUAUUUUGCACACCCAAGCCAAAUACUGCAUGUGCUAUUGAAAUCAUGCUUUCAUGUUGGGAUGUGUGGGAGAUGCGCCCCUGAACUUAUUUAAUAGAAUCUUGGUUGUGGUUUCAUCUUCCCAGCCCUUAUUGUCUGUUCACUUACCACUGGUCAGGGUAGAAUGGCAGGAAGUGUACUAGCUACUGAAAUUAUAGCAGGUGGGUUUAGCUCUGACCACAACUCUCCAUAAACCAGUGCUAUCCCAUGUGAGUGCUCUAAAUGUUCAAGUGCUAAGUGUCUGUGAGUGGUCCGAACUCUGCUGAUUGGGGCAAGGGCUUGGAGGAGCAGACUUGGUUAGGGUGGCAGUCAUCACUCAAUGGGGAAAUUGAGGACCAAGCAUCAUGAGUGAACUGAUCGACUUGGGACAUGGGGGCAGUCUGAGGGUUUAGGGCACUUUUGCUUUUUUUGGAAUUGUGGUUUUAACAGCAGGUUUGUGCUGAGUUUGGUACAGACUAAUCUCUCUGUUGGCAGAAUGUCAUCAGUUGGUUGAACUCCUUUGCUGCCACACUAGACCUUAAGUGUUCCAAAGGGCCGUUGGGGCAGAAACCGGACUUCUGCAAAAUGGGCUGUCUGAAUUUGGGAGGCUGGGGAUGCUAAACUGUGGAUGCUCUUCCUCUGUUUUAUUUCUGUACUGUGUGUUUCAGUGGAGGUUCUUAGGGGCUAUUCAACAAAGCCUUUGCUGUCAGCUAAAAGGCUUUUAGGACUUCAUAAUCAUGGCACAAUACCUUUUCCUUUUUCUUUUUCUUUUUUUUUUUUUUAAGAACUCUUUCCUUUCCCCAUCUUUUUUCAAAUCGUUAGCCUUCAUGUGAACUGAAAAGGACUUCAAAACAUUGGAAGAAAAUAGUCUGAAAUCUCAGAGUGUACUUGGUUCCUGGUAGGAACGAAGACUUGAUAAAGAGGCAUCUUUUGCACUGACAGGUGUUUGUGUGCCAGUGUGGAGAAGGCUUUUGAUGACAAAGCCACUUAGUUUUCUAUAGCUUACCUUUCCCUUUGUACAGAGGAUUUCAGAAAACUCUAAUAAAGUAACUAAAUAAUGGGGAUAAAAAGUUAGCAUUCGUGUCACCUUCAUUUCUUUUUUGCCCAUUGAUGUUUUGAGACUCACUUUCCAGGCACCGAAAAAGCAAGUGGUGGGCAUGAGAUGGCCAGUGUCUUGCCAUUGUCCCUGUGGUUCUAGGAUCUCCUUCUAUUUGAAGGUCCAGAGUGAGCAGCAAUGCCCUUCCUGAAGCAGCAGAACUGGGGGCUGAGGGGUCUACAGAAAGGAGGGGCUCCCAGGGGAGAUGCUGAAUUGUCACCUGCCUUGUUCCAUGGAUGCAGGGUAAUUUGUUCUAUCAUAAAGGCCUGGAGCCCCCUUAACCCUUGACAUACAGUUUUCUUUACCCUCCUAGAAACCAGCAGAAACUGGCAAACUAUGACUGUAGUCAUGUGUUAACUCCGUUCUCACAUGAAUCUCAGAGGAGUCUUCUCAGAUCUUGUGCUCUUUUCCCAGGAAGAUAAAUCACACAAGUUACAGCCAGAGGAAUAAAUCAUGCUUAUUUGUUACUUAAUGUGGUUCACGAAGAGCAGGGAGGAACCUGCUUAUUUAACUGCCCCAAACAUGGUUGGGACAUCUUAAUUUGCAGCAGUCACCCCAUUGUGGGUAGAACUUUCUAUGCUAAUCCCUUUGGACUUUUGUGGGGGAAAAACCCCAGAAGGAAUCUUACUAGUAGAGGACAAAUAAAAUGAGUGUUGCUGACUACAGUUCUAAGUGGAAAAUAAAGGUGUAGUAGAGAAACUGUCUGUGAAUUGAUGUCCAGUAAUAUCCAUCCAUUGUUUCAUAUGAACAAAAUUGGGCCAAGCCCAGAAAAUGGAUUCAACUCUGGUUUUGGUAGUGAUCUCCAACAAGUUCUUGCAGCUGUAUGUGGAAGCUAUUCCUUUGGAUUUCAGGUUGGUUAUUUGGAGUCAUCACUCUUUAAGACUCUCAUAAGAGAGGACACUAGGCUGUGGGUGCCGCCCACACCUGGGAAUGGUUGACAGGUUUGUGUAAAGCCAGCAUUGGAUGGAUGUGUGAGCUAGUUGGCUAUAGCCUUAUCAGUUUUCAGAGGAGGAGCAUAAGUCACUGAGUCUGUGCUCCUUGGCUCCUCUUACCAAGCCUUGUUACCACCAAGAAGCAUUAGUUUGGGGGUUUGUGUUUUGUUUCUGAGGGGGGCCUUAGGGCUAGAACUAGACCAUGGAAAAUGGUCCUAGGGGGUGGGAAACCCAGGAGUACUGUGUUAACUAGAAAUGCUACAAGCUUAUCUGAUGACUUAAUGAUACUAUGUAGGCAAGUAUAAUAGAUAAGAAUACUGGCAACCUUGAUUUUUGUUCUGUGCCAGGGACUGGUGCUUAGUACUUUGUAUAUGCUCUUAUUAAACUCUUAGAGCAACCUAAUGGGAUAUUAAUAGAAGCAGUAGUGGUAAAUAGUUAUUAUAGCAAUUACUGUGUCUGCUUUAUGUGGAUUGUCUUGAGUCUCACAAUAAUCCUAUGAGCAAGGUAUUAUUAUCUUUCCCAUUUUCUAGAUGAGGAAACAGGAUCAGAGCGGUUACUGUAAGUUUGCCCAAAGAGGCGGAAUAUGAAUCAGUCAUCUGAUGCUGAAGACUGUGCAUAUAUCAGCCAUGAUUUUCCCACCCUUUCUGAUCACAUAUGGUUAGCUAAACAGAAGCAUUUUCUAAUGGGUGGUUAAUGAAUAAUAGGUUGUAAUGAUUAAGUGAGAAGUGUUUUGGCCAAGGAGAUGCAUGCUUGUGUAUGUGCAUGUAUGAUACAUACAGUGAACUUCUGAUAUUCUAUUUUGGGAAUUACCCUCUGACUGUGAAUGCCAGAAUAUCCUCUUUUUUUUUUACCCAGAACAUUUACACUCUUGCCUAGCUGUUGGGGUUGAGGAAUAGAAACUCAUUUAAAAGUAAUUUUAAGUAGAAUUUCUUUAGGGAGAUGAAAAUAAACCCGCAGUUGUAGAACAUUACAACUGAAAGAGCAUCUGGAAACAAGUAAGUCAUUUUGUUUUAGAGAGGAGGCUCAGGGCCUCCAGGGGAGUGUUCAUUGGCUCAAGGCCUCUGAUCUACUAGUGCUAGAUUUGGUACUAGAUGUUGGGAUGCCUGUCUCUUGGUUGAGUGUUCUCUCUCCUGUAUGACCUAACCACUCCAUGGAAUAAACUUUGAAGCCCCAAAGACAAAACAAAGGAAAAAAACUCUGAAACCAAAAAGAAACGGUGUUGUGAUGAUCUGUUUUUGAAAUUAUGGGUAUCGCUAAUUCUCCAAUGGUGUGGCUAAUUUGUAGUUGAGUGUCAUGGUAUUUUAGAUUCUUCGGGGUUGAGGUCACAUUGGCUAUAUGGAAGCAACCGCUCCCAUCUGAUUCCUUGCAUCAGGAGCACAAUAAUACAUUUCCCUCUAACACGGAGAAUAUUUUCAUUGGCCUAAUGGACCAAGAUAGUUGAGGAAUUAAAUUGACCUCCACUCCCCUCUACCUCAUGUCACCAGGAGGGAAAGAGUCAACAUUAUUCAUGGAAAUGCAUUUUCUUUGAAGUCAGAAUUUACUUUUUUAAAGGAAUGUUCUUUCCUGACUUGGAAGAAUUCUUAUUUGGGCACAAGCAUUUUAUUGUGUAGCUUUGUGCAUUAUCGCAUUGAGUGUGUUGCUAUUGCUCCCACCAACUGUUUUCUAAGACAUUUUGAGGCUGUGCUUGAUAUUGUAAGGAAAGUAUUUGUCACUCGGACUCUCAGAAUUGAAUUUGCUUGAAUUAAUUAUGAUUUCCACUCCGUCCCCCUGGGCAGUAUUAUGGGGGAGAGGUAAUCCUUUCUGAUGUCGUAUAGAAAAUCAAUUCUGGCCCAUGGCACUGGCUAGUUGGUUGAGUGGGGGAACUUGUCACCCACUGUAUGGUCUUUAUUUUCCAUUUUCCUUGGCCCUUUAUGUGUGUGUAUUUCCCUGGGCUGGUUUAAGAAGCUGCCAGGGCUAGGGUGCUGUGCUUGAAGUGAUGAACAAGGAUACUCUCCCCAUAAAGAAAACCACAAGGGCCCCAAGAUGGGUAAUAAAAGGCCUUGUCCAUUGCCUUUCUUGUGGAGUCUGCGUUGUUUUGAGUGUUUUCCACUGAGAAACACUCUCUGCCUUUGGUCUAGGUGGUAAGACAAGUUGAAAGGUACUGGGUCAUAUGUAGGGAUUUGGUCUUAACUGGUUUGGGAGUUUUUUUGUUUUAUUAUUCCUGGCAGACUCCCCGCCCCCUCCCAACCCCUGCGUCCUUAGAAUGCUUUUCUCCUUACUUUUAAGAUAUUAGAGUCCUUCUCCUUGUUUUAAAAAUACACCAUAAACAAACUUAGGAGGCCCAAACAACUGAUGGUAAAUAUUUGAACAAAAUAUGACAAGCAUAUGAUAGAUAUCCUUACUACAUAAAUAGCUGCUACAAAAAAUAACCACCAAACACCCUGUUGUACAUCCAUUAGAAAGGAAAUAAGUUUUAAAUGCCUUGGGAGCAUACUCUCAAGAUAAAGCUGAGCAAAAUAGCAGGACACGGAACUGAACACAGAUGUAAAUGUUAAUCUGCAUGCACUCAAAGGGCUGAAACUUCCCUUUUUUUCUUACUCAUGUGUCAGGAAAGCCUUACAAGUAGUUUCUACCUUGGCAUGUGACCGUGGUGCCUUAGCUUUGCUAUUCCAGCCAACUGACCCUUUUGCUGAAAGUUUAAUAAGGGAUAAAUUCACAUGUGAAUUCAUAAUCCCCUUAUCUGUGCUAAGAGCAUUCUGUAAUGAGCCUGCAACAAAGAGAAUCUUACAUCUUGCCAUUUUGCUCUGAAACCACCUCUUGGCCUCCUUCCUACCUUCCCUAUGCUUCCUGGUUGGACAUGUUAGGCAUCUGCCCAUUGCAGAGUCAUCACCUGCUUGCAGUAUGUUAAGUGAUGUUAUAAAUCAGUGGACUCAAAUUUCCUACCAGUCACAUUGAGGCAUUUAAGGAAGUAUGGCAUGUGUGAGUGGGGAAUAUAUUUGAGCUUAUUAGAGAAGCAAACAAGGACUUGUUCUCUUCUAGUAUUUAUUAAUUUUGAGACUUACUCUUUUAUGUAGUGUGACUUUGACUGUAAAUCCAAAAGCAAAGUCACAGGCUACAGUUUUAAGUUUUGAAGAUUUAUUGUUAAAAUUUGCUCUCUCCCUAAUGCUUUUAUUAUUUACUCUUCUCUUCCCUGUCCAUGGUGUGGGUUACAGUUAAUGUUAUCUACAUAUGUCUAUAAAUACUGAAAAUAUUUUUGAUACAAUGUGCAUUUAAUCAACUUUUUGUUACUGUUACGCCGUUUGUGUGGAAGAAAAUUGUUUCUGUCUUAAUGUUCUAUUGAAGUGCCUUUGGAGUGAUGAUAUCAUAAUCACUUUAAUACAUUUAAAAGCUUCAAGGCUUAGCAUUUAUUGAACAAAGCUCAUUGAAGGAAUAUAACGGAUGUCUUGAGGCUUUCCGCUGCUGUAAAAAGGACAGUAUUGUUCAUGGCCUCGGUAAAAGAAAAUCUGAAUUUUUAUUUUACUUUGCACCACGUUGAAAUUAUAUCUCAAAAGCUCUUCAAGUGCAACUAACAAAGGGGCUGUUUUUAUGAAUUGUUGUAAUUGCAGAUCUCAGGGCUGACUGCUGUGAGUUUAACAUUAAUAAUGGACAGCAGUUUAAAACUUUAUCACCAAAAUCCAACCUCACAUCCUAAAAGAUAGCAUUCCCUUCCCAUUUGGAUGUCCUUGGAGAAGGAGUCCUCCACAGCUGGGAAGUGAGUAGAAAACUUUAUUCUCCAGAAUCUCAGAAUUCCUGGCCCUUGGGGAUCUCUCUGAAGAAGCCUUGUGAGUGAAGGGAGGACUGAGGAUUGUGGAGUUCUGAGGUUGGGAUGUGGGUGUGUGUGUGUGUUUAGCCCAUGAAAUCAGAAUGGGGAUAUGGCAGGUGGGAUGUCAAGGGAGCCCCUGAGAAUCCUUGUGGAUUGGAUGGAGGGGUGUUCUCUCAGGAUUCCUGGACUGACAAGACAGCCAAGGUGGGCAUGCUCUGAAGCCACUCCUCUAAAGAGAUUGUUGAAGAAGCUCCCACUGCUGGAGAUGAAAUGGAAAAUAUUCAGUCCUUUCUCCUGGGUAGAGGUGGUGAAGUCAUGUCCUUGGGAACUGGCUUAGACCUUUAGCUUCCACUUGGAUGCUAUUGGGUAACUUGCUGCUUGACUUGGAAUAACAUGUGGUAAAACAUCCCCAUGGGUGCAGGUCUCCUCUCAGAAAUUUGAGUAUCAUGCAGUCCUAACUUGGGAGAAGAGUACCUGGAAAGACCAGUCACCAUUUCCUAUUUCUUAUUCCCUGGUGCCUCAUUAUGUUGCUUCUGGUCUUGAGACUGCCUGCCUGACUUAUUUGAAAUUCACAUGUUUAAAGCCUACAUGUUUCCCUUUAGACUUUUCUUAAGGGAAAGUAAGCAUGUUAGAGUUCACUUGCUAUGAGGUGGGGCUUCUGAGGCCUAAUUAAUUAUGAACUCACAUGUGUCUUACCCUCUCCUAUCAGGUACAGUGCCCUGAACAGGUGACUGUGCUUGAAAUGAUGGAUUUGAUUUAGUGGUUUGAAGAGGAUGGGCUUUGACUUGUGGCCUUUCCCAAGUGAAGAGCUGCGGGAGCUGCUACUUCUAAUAUUGAACCCUUUCUCAUCUGGGUGGUAGCGGCUAGAGACCAGAGCUGUGAUUAGGGUGUGGUACUUUGACCACCAGUUGUCAGAAACCACUUCUUACAGAUUUAUCCAGCCAUCUGUAUCAGUUAGGAGUAGGUUCAGUUGCAUAGGGUAGAUAAUCAUAAUUACCUGCAUAUUACCUAAGGUUCACAUUCAUUUCUCUCUUGAGGUCUAGAGGUUGACAACCUAGGGCUGAUAUGGUAGCUUCAUGGUAUGAACAGGGGUCCAGGCUACUUCCAUAUUUCCACUCUGCUGUCUCAAGCAUUUCUUGGACUGAACCUCAUAGUUGAAGAUGGACAUCGUUCAGGGGCAACUGGGUGGCUCAGUUGGUUAAACAUUUGACUCUUGAUUUUGGCUCGGGUCAUGAUCUCCCAGGUGGUGAGAUUGAGCCCUACGUUGGGCUCUGUGCUGACAGUGUGGCGCCUCCUUGGGAUUCUCUCUGCCGGCCCCUCCCCCCACCUCUCGUGCGCGGGUGCUCUCUCACACACUCUCUCUGCCCCUCCCUGUGUAUGUGUUCUCCCUCUCUCAAAAAAAUUUAAAGAUGGACACAGUCGAGACAUCAUAUCCACAUACCAGACUGGCAGCAGGAAGAAAGGCAAAGGGCAUUCCCUCCUUCCUCUUAAGAACUUUUUAAGAAGUUUCAUGCAGCAAUCUGUAUGUAAGUCCACACCUAGCUGCAAGGGAGGCAGAGAACUGCAGUCUUUAAACUGGGUGACAGUGGGCCCUGGCAAAACUUGAGGGGUCCUGUUCCUGAGGGAGAAGGGAGACUGGAUAUUGGAUAGGCCACCUGUAAACUGCCAUACUAGGUAUCAGUUCAUUCAUCUGUCUCUACCCCCUUUCCUUCCCCCGAGUGCGCUCACUUUACCAUCCUGUCCACUGUAGUUGGAAUGCCCCCUCCCUAGUUCUAUACAUGCUCCAGACUGGACUUUUACUACCACUUUUCCUUUCCAAGGUAGCUUUUGAUGGUUUUAACCUACUUUUACUGACAUUAAGAUAACAGGGAUGGAGGAAGCCUUGAGUGCCGAGUUUUUAUUUUUCUCCUAACAUUUUUAUUCAGUGGAAACAUCAAGGCUUGCCUUAAAGAAGGAAAGGUGACCAGAGAGUUGCCAGAGUGGUUCCUGAAAGUGUCUGAACUUUUUGCCCUUCCUGGGUUCACAGUUGGCAUUCUUGUCCACACCUGUAGGCACCUGGGCCAGAGGGCAACCCCCUUGAAGUCCAGAGUCCUAUGGCUUGUGGCAUGAAGUGCUCUCUACUCCACCAAAAUCCCCAGAAUAUGGAAGUCCAGUCCAGUGUCAUACAUGCUCCUUCCCAUGAACAGACACUUAACAAAUUUUUCCAACAGAAGAUAAAGGUGAUGCCUCUCGGUAAGUUGGCUCUGUUUAGUCUCAGCUGUUGCAAACUCAGAUGGUGAUGUUUAUGGUAGUCCCCAAGUCCUUGGGAAGACCGCCCCCUCCACUGAGAACAAAGGUACUUUGAGAUGGGAUGAUGCUGUAGAUGGCAGUGCUGUGUCCCUUCUUACACUCCAGUCCAUCCAUUCUUCAUCCUUCAGCAGCAGUGGAAUUUUCCAGACUAGGAAUUGGGAUAUGUAAUAUGAUGAGUUAUGCCACCCCUGAAGACAAAGGGCGGUCUGGGUGAUAGGUUUUGCAUUCUGCAAUGCUCGCAUUUCUGGAUAAUGUUGACAGCUUUAAAGUCUAUGGGACAGUGUAUUUAAAAUAGACAAUUUAACCAAGUUCUAGGAGCUAUGAUCUUGCUUCAAGAAGCUUUGAAGAGAUUUGACUUCGGAACCCUGGGAGAUCUGGGUUCAAAAUCUCUUGCUGUGUGGCUUUUGGGGGAUAACUUUAGGCCCAGUUUUCUUAAAUACCAAACAGCCCUAAUGAGAUGUAACUCCAGAGAAUGAAAUUAGAACCAUAUGUAAAGUGCCUGGCACAUAGUAGGUCCUUAAUAAAAGUUAAUUUCUUGUUUAUGCAAUUCACUCAUCCAAGUGCUUAGUAAAAAUAUUUAUUUCAUGAUCAAAAGCUUUUUAAAAAAUUGAGCAUUGUAUGUAACAAUUGAAUAUAUCACAUUGAAUAACCCUAAUCUUACUGUAUGUGGCUGAAGAUGUUCAUGGGCAUAGGCUGUCACAUGACUACUUUCAAGCAGCCCCCUUUUCCCUUUAAUAAUAUGAGCAUACAAUGAAAACACUCUUUGAUAAAGAAUAACAUAGGUGUACCAAAGAACGGAUGAUUUCUCAACUGAAAGUAUAACCUGCCAUUAGCACACUUUAGGCAGUGCAGUUGAAGAAGGCUUCUAGUUGUGUUUUGUAUCUUCCUGGCUCUCAGACCUCUAUGAAAAUCUGAGAACUAUGGAUCCUCCCUUCAGAGAAAUGCACAUAUACAGGUGCAUGGAAUCUUUCAUAAAACUGCAGUUGAUCUGUGGACCACAUUAUUUCUGAUGUUCUACUCCUGCCUUCCCUCAAGAAUCCUGGAUUAAGAAUCCCUGCGUGAACUAUUGAUUGAUGGUUUUUUUUUUUUUUGACUGUAGAUACUGUUACUAAAUGGGGAAGAGAAGGAAAUGGUGAGGCCACACCUAGCAUGAGAAGCAAGUAGUUGAGAUAAUGCCUGAAAGAUAAAUACUCUGUUGCACAUCAUUGUAGCAUUCAUGAUUCCAAGGUCUACAAGAAGUUAAGAAUGGGAAGAGUCAAGUUUGUUUUUCUCACUCUAACUUUUUAUUAUGAAAAAUUUCAGGGGUCUGGGUGGCUCAGUCAGUUAAGACACAUUGCGGGUUUGAGCCCCACGACUGGCUCUCUGCUGACAGCUCGGAGCCUGGAGCUGGCUUCAGAUUCUGUGUCUCCCUCUAUUUCUGUCCCUCCCCAACUCAUGUUCUCUCUCUCAAAAAUAAACAUUUAAAAAAAAUGAUAAAAAUUUUCAGUGGUACGGAGAAGUUGAAAGAAUUGUAUGGUGAACACACAUACACCUGACAUCAAAGUAGCAUCCAGGUUCUUCAUUACCAUUUUACUAUACUCACUUUAUUCUACCUCCAUCCAUCCAUCAGUCCAUCUUUCUUUUUGGUGCAUUUCAAUGUAAGUUGCAGAUAUCAAUACCCCUCACCCUAAACAUUCAGCAGCAUAUCAUUUACUAGAGUUCAGUAUUAGUUUAUUUUUUUCUUUUGAGAAAUGGACUAGCUCUAAGUGUACCAUUUCUGAGUUUUGAUAAAUGGAUGCAUCUAUGCAAUCCAAACUCCUAUCAAAAUGUAAAACUUGUACCAAAAAAGUGUCCUGAUUCCCCUUCCUAGUUACUCCCUGAUUCUUCUCCACAGGUAAUCACUCUUCUGAUAUUUUUGCCAUAGUUUGAUGGGACUAUUUUAAGACUUGAUAUAAUUGGAAUCCUAUAGUAUGUUUUUUUGUGAAUCGUUCAUUAGCACCAUGUGUCUGAGAUUCACCCAUGUUGUAUAUACCAGUAGUUUCUUCUUGAGUGGUCUUCCAAUGUAUGCGUAGACUGUAGUUUGUCCAUUCCUUUGAAAAUCAGAGCUGUUCUCAGGUUUGAGCUAACAAGCUGCUAUGGACAUUUGCAUAUAAGCCUUUAUGUAUGUGUAUAUUUUAAUUUUUCUUAAGUAUGUGGGGUGGAAUUUUGAGGCUUUAGGAUAGGUGUAAGUUUAAUGUUAAAGGAAGAAAUUGCCAGACCUUUUACUGAAGUGGUUGUUGCAUUUUCACUUCUACCAACAGUGUAUGUGAGUUGUAGUUGCUCUGCAUCCUUGCCAGCAUUUGGUAUUAUCAGUCUUUUUGGUUAUAGCCCCUCUGGUUUGUGUAUAGUGAUAGCUCACUGUGGUUUUCGUUUGCUUAUGGCCUGGGGCUCCAAAACGGCCUUUCCCUGGGCUCCUGAAUCCCCCUUGAUCUCAGAGACCUUAUCUAUUCUUAGGGGGUGUGUGGGAAUAGCUAGUGAAAAUCUUAUGGGGCCAUAAAAUUUCCUGCAGGGUUUUAAACCCCCUUAAAGUUCUGCAUGGCACAGAAUGUGCAUGUCUGUGGACAGCCACAGUCACUUCAUGAUGAUAUGGCUGCAGGAAGGACACUGGGAGCAGUAAGGCAAGGUGUCCAUCUUCCCAGAUGGAGCCAUGUGCGUGCGCGGAGCUCCUUGACACAGGGAGCUUGGAGAGUCAGCAGCUGGAGCCUUGCAUUCAGCCUCGUGUCACAACAUUAUCAGAGACUUGGGGAAACUGGCCAGAGUUCAGAGAAGAGCAGCUAGCACGAUUAAAGGGCUUGGAGGGAUUAAGGGAUUGAUUUAUGAGGAAAGAUGAAAAGAACUUAAUGUGUGCUGCUUGACUAAGUGGGUACAUGAUAAUAGCCUGCAAACAUCUGAAGGGUAUAAACACCGGAGAGGGAGAGGAAUUAGCAGAGGGUGAGGAAACUGAUCCAGGCAUAAUGGGGGAAAUUAAAUGGGGGAGGGAGGAUGGGGUAAGUUGGCAAAGCAGUGGCAGGGGUGUGACCUUCUUUGAGAAGUCUGAGAGGGGGUUGAGUUAUUAGUUUGGGGAAGAUGAACCCCAGGAAGUGCUGUGGGGUUGCCUCCUAAAGCAGCCAGGUAGAUGGACAUAGUUGGGUGCCUACUGUGUGCUGUAUGAAGCAGGACCAUGUGGGAAAUGGGAACCUGGAGGCUAGAAGGAAGGGAGGUAAUGGAAAUGACCUGGACAGUGAAGUCUAGGCAUUUCCUUAAGUCUCUUCUCCCUGGCAGUUCUGGAUGGAUCAGAGGCACUGACAGUUUGGUUUUGCAGCCAGUUUGCUUGGGAUGAGUAGUUUCUACCCCAUGUGUCUGCCAUCUUCCCCAGUAUUGACCUUGUCCUAAAAUGCAGCUAUCCUUGGCAGGCCAUGGUGUUGGUUUCUCAUUGCCGGUCUGGAUGUGUGGUUGGGAAACAGUGCAUGGACUGCUGAGGAGGAUGGGAAAUGAAACCAACCUGCCUGUGGUCAGACUCUGGCUUCUACUUGCCAGCUGGGUGAGUGGGCCUAGUUUCUGCUCUGUGGACCUCCAUUUCCUUUUCCCGUAAGAUGGAGUUAACAAUGGCAGCUUGCUUCAGAGUUGUGCUGAAGCUGACAUGGAAAAGUGGGUGCAAAGUGCUUAGCAUAGAGCCUGUCAAAAAGUAAAUGCUCGACAAAGGGUGGUUUACUGCUAAUGUAUUUAAACGACUAUCAUGACUAUCAUUAUCCUGGUACUAUGACUCAGGUCUGGAGCCUGCCUGAGUAGUGCCUUUGGCAUGGAGACAGCCCCAUCUAACAUAGCCAAUAGGGAGGUGCUCAUGAUAGGUUAGGAGUGGGAGGGGAUGUUUGCACCCCAAGAGAAGGAGGCCACGGGUAACACCCUGGUCUUCCCUGCAGUAGCAGAGUUUGCAGAGAUGGUCUUUAGUCAGAGCCAAGAUCUGCACACUACAGCAGCAGACUAGGCUGGGAGAAGAAACCUUGCUCAUUCCCAGUGUCCAGCCUGGUGCAAUGGAAAGAUAACCAGGAGUCAGUAAACAUACAUUAACUUCUGCCCAACUUCCAGUUUCCUCAGUGGUUGGGAGGAAAGGGGGGAAAAAAAAACCCAAAAAGGUGAGGGGGAUUAAACUCGUGUUUCUUAAACAUUUUUUUUCCUGCCAAGCAAAAGGCAGGUUAUAUAGGAUUUGAGUAUGUAGAACAAACGGCCCCAAACUGAGCUGCUUCUGAGUGGGGUGGGAGGCUGGAGUCUCCUUUGACUGAUCCUCCAUCUUUUGUGGUAGUCAGGAGGGCACUCAGUGACUUGCUUAGCUCUGUGGAACACUGUAGUCACAUGUAGUUGAGCUCUUUGGGAUGGUUACUGUUCUGGUGACAGCUGAAAUAAAUUGUUGGCUCACGUUUGCUAAAUGCUUUGCAUCUAUUAGCUUCAGAUGAAGACACUGAGGUUGAGAGGUUAAACAAGGAUUCACAGCUGAGAAGUGACAAAUGCUAAGAGUUCUUUCAGCUCUGAAGUAGUCAAAUUCAGUUUCUCCUACAGGUUUUCAACUGAUAUUAGAUAAUCAGUAAAUACUUAGCAAUGUGAGUUGAUCUGUUAGGAUUGAUUUCCCCAACUCCAGAAUGAGGCCAUGCUACCUGCUACUGGUCUCCUGGACGGAUGCUCAGAUCCCUUAGUUGGUUGUAUCUGUUGUAAGAAAUAGACUUUGCCACUGGGGGUGCCAGUUUCAUGACCUCUUUUAAGAACGCACAUCUGGGGGCACCUGGGUGGUUUAGUGGGUUAAGCGUCCACUUCAGCUCAGGUCACGAUCUCACGGUCCGUGAGUUCGAGCCCCGCGUCGGGCUCUGGGCUGAUGGCUCAGAGCCUGGAGCCUGCUUCCGAUUCUGUGUCUCCCUCUCCCUCUGCCCCUCCCCCGUUCAUGCUCUGUCUCUGUCUCAAAAAUAAAUAAAACGUUAAAAAAAAA